CCCACGGCCGGGAUCGAACCGACAAUCUUCUGAUUAGAAGUCAGACGCCUCAUCCAACAGCAAUAUUCGG